AUAAGGCACAUACAACACAAGAGGGCGCGCAAGAAUAAUCUUUUGGGUUUCAGGAAUCCGAAGAGGAGACAGCCACAUCUUUUUGUAGUCUUCCAAGCCUUCCAACCCAUCUUUGCGACCUGAUCUGAUCCGGAACCAGGGGAUCCUACACAUUGUGGAGGACGGCCUAAGAACUGAGCAAGUACCCCUAAACCUACGCAUUGUCUCUCGGUUACACACAGUUGGAACUAGGCUGAGUAGCCAAUCCUGACGGAGGAGUCUCUGAGGAUCACGUUAUACCGCGUCAACGUCUCCAGAUCAGCUCCUCUUAAGAAGACCCAAGAGUUUUCUCAGAUUUUAGUUUACCAUCCUGGUCUCUAUUCCUAGUUGUUUUUAGUUUCGGCCAGUAGGGGGCGCUAGCUAAUCUAUAUUUACAAGGACCGACGUCAACAGCCAUCCAUGUUUCUGUGAUGGUUUUAAAGUCAAACUGCCACGAAUUAGAAACACUUGAUGGGCUCAGC
rnacentral:lncRNA from 1 species